rnacentral:tRNA from 1 species
GGCCGGUUAGCUCAGUUGGUUAGAGCGUGGUGCUAAUAACGCCAAGGUCGCGGGUUCGACCCCCGCACGGCCA